UGAGACAAGUAGAGGCACCCGCUUCUCACCUGUUCAACGCAUACAUGCAGUUGGCUGGUUUCUAACUUCUUUAAAUAAAUGAUUAAAGUCGUGUGGGUGCAUAUAUUGUGCCCGCAUUUUUUUGUGCUU
rfam:Virgibacillus necropolis strain LMG 19488 chromosome, complete genome.